rnacentral:lncRNA from 1 species
AAGAUUUGCCCAGACGGAAGGGAAUUUGGGGUGAAGUGGCCGUAAAAGUGUGGGACGAAACUGUUUCGGGCAGAGCGGUGGGAACUCACCUGAGGAAAGCAUGGGGGAGGAGUCACUAAUAAGAAUGAGUGGCAGGGACAGGGCGGCCUUGUAACGCCCUCGGUGUUGGAAGGGAAGACCGUACAGCGCGAUGGGGACCAGGGCGGCGGGCCGCAGCCAGGGUGUGGGUGGGCGACGGUCAAGGUGCCUUGAAGCGGAUUCUGUCCUCGGGAGCUGCGGUUCUUCCUCCUCCGCCCUCACCGGCGGGCGACCUUAGGCAGGGCGUGAAAUGCAACGGGAGCCCUGGAGGGAGGGUGAAGCCGCGCGUGCAGGAGGAACCUCCUUUUGGCGAGUUCAGGCCCCGCAGCUGCGGAGCUACUGCCUGGGGUCUAGGAAUCCAGAACAUUCCACACAUUGCCUAAGUCAACAACCUGUUGCACACACACACCUGCAACUGUUUUGCAAAAAUAUUUACGUAAUUUCGAAGCAGCUCUUCACAAAAUAUUCAUCAGUUACAGAAGGAAGUCACUUCACAGUGGAAAAAUCUGGCAGGUGCCACCUUAAUCAAGUAACCAAAAUGAACAUCAUCAGUAAUAGGACAAAUUGCAAUCGUGUGCCUCCUGAUAGUCUAGCAAGAAGAACACAGCAUCACUUCUAUGAUGCUCCUGCCAAUAAUAUAUAAUUGGAAUCUAAUCCUAAAGCAACAAAUUCAAAUUAAGGAAAAUUCUACAAAAUAAUUGGCCUGUAAUAGAAGUGUUAAAGGUCAUGAAAGUUAAGGAAAGACUGAAGAACUGUUCCAGACUGAAGAUGAAAGAGAUGUGAGAAAUAAGUGCAGUGGUGAUUCUGAACUGGAUCCUGACUUGGCAAAACUUGAAUAGGUCUGUUGGUUGGAUGGUAGAAAUAUAGUAAUGUUGAUUUCCUGAUUUUUGCUAGCUAUAUUACAAUUUUAUUGGAUUCAGUCCUUGUUUACAGAAGACACACAGUAUGUAGGGGUUAUAAGAAGUCAGCUCAGGAACUUUCAAAUCAUUUAGCAAAACAAAAGUUCUUCGUACUUUAAUUCCAAGACUUCUAUAAAUUUGAGAUUAUUUUUAAAAUACUUAAAAAAAACUCCUUUAAAGUCUCUCAA